GGGAUAACUAUUGGAAACGAUAGCUAAUACCGCAUAAGAGUAGAUGUUGCAUGACAUUUGCUUAAAAGGUGCAAUUGCAUCACUACCAGAUGGACCUGCGUUGUAUUAGCUAGUUGGUGGGGUAACGGCUCACCAAGGCGACGAUACAUAGCCGACCUGAGAGGGUGAUCGGCCACACUGGGACUGAGACACGGCCCAGACUCCUACGGGAGGCAGCAGUAGGGAAUCUUCGGCAAUGGACGGAAGUCUGACCGAGCAACGCCGCGUGAGUGAAGAAGGUUUUCGGAUCGUAAAGCUCUGUUGUAAGAGAAGAACGAGUGUGAGAGUGGAAAGUUCACACUGUGACGGUAUCUUACCAGAAAGGGACGGCUAACUACGUGCCAGCAGCCGCGGUAAUACGUAGGUCCCGAGCGUUGUCCGGAUUUAUUGGGCGUAAAGCGAGCGCAGGCGGUUAGAUAAGUCUGAAGUUAAAGGCUGUGGCUUAACCAUAGUACGCUUUGGAAACUGUUUAACUUGAGUGCAAGAGGGGAGAGUGGAAUUCCAUGUGUAGCGGUGAAAUGCGUAGAUAUAUGGAGGACACCGGUGGCGAAAGCGGCUCUCUGGCUUGUAACUGACGCUGAGGCUCG
rnacentral:rRNA from 1 species